UUUAGCUCUUGUCCGGUCUACCUCCGUUUUAAGCGCCCGUUAUUCCUCCAGAGUCUCCGGUAUUUACUUUGUUUUCUUGCUUGUGUCGGCAGUCGUGGCCAAAGGAGGAUUCAGACAAUUUUCCGAACUUUCUGGUUGGUUUCUACUGUCCGAUAUUGUAGCACGCUAACUUUGUUUGGACUCCUGAACGACACGGGGGAGCAGCGUCUGCCUCACAACCAAUCAGGUUAGAGGAGGUGGAGAACGGCUUUGUUUACAGUCAGAAAGAGCGGACCGCUCAAAAAUGUUCAAAUGUUGACGACACAGACAGAAGAGAACACAGAGAUAUCGAUAUAUUACCAAAUAAUCAAUAACUAAUAACUAUUGACUGAUAUUAGAAGAUUUUUUGUUUAUAAAACACAAAAUAAAAAGAUGUUUCUUUAACAGAUUCCUG